AUGACUUUUAGUAGUGGCCAACACUCUAGCCAGAUUGAUUUCAUCCUCUUGAGAAGAGAAGAUAGGCGUGCGUGCCUAGACUGUAAGGUGAUACCUGGAGAGAGUGUUGUACCCCAACAUAAGCUGGUGGUUGCUGACUUCCGCUUUCGGAUUCGUGUCCAGCGGGAUAAGCGUGCCAAAGUCGCUAGAACGAAGUGGUGGAAGCUCAAGGGGGAGGUAGCUCAGGUGUUCAAGGAGAGGGUCAUUAAGGAGGGCCCUUGGGAGGAAGGUGGGGAUGCGGACAAUGUGUGGAUGAAGAUGGCGACUUGCAUUCGUAAGGUGGCCUUUGAGGAGUUUGGAGUGUCCAGGGGAAGGAGAAGCGAAGAUAAGGAUACCUAG
rnacentral:rRNA from 1 species